UACAGAGGUCUCAAGCGUUGUUCGGAUUCAUUGGGCGUAAAGGGUGUGUAGGUGGCGCCGUAAGUCGGGUGUGAAAUCUCGGAGCUUAACUCCGAAACUGCAUUCGAGUACUGCGGUGCUUGAGGACUGGAGAGGAGACUGGAAUUCCUGGUGUAGCGGUGAAAUGCGCAGAUAUCAGGAGGAACACCGGUGGCGAAGGCGGGUCUCUGGGCCGAUACUGACGCUGAGGAGCGAAAGCGUGGGGAGCGAACAGG
rnacentral:rRNA from 1 species